rnacentral:rRNA from 3 species
CGGAGUUACAAAGGACGACAUUAGACGAAUCAUCUGGAAAGAUGAAUCAAAGAAGGUAAUAAUCCUGUAGUCGAAAAUGUUGUCUCUCUUGAGUGGAUCCUGAGUACGACGGAGCACGUGAAAUUCCGUCGGAAUCUGGGAGGACCAUCUCCUAAGGCUAAAUACUCUCUAGUGACCGAUAGUGAACCAGUACCGUGAGGGAAAGGUGAAAAGCACCCCGGAAGGGGAGUGAAAUAGAACCUGAAACCGUGUGCUUACAAGUAGUCAGAGCCCGUUAAUGGGUGAUGGCGUGCCUUUUGUAGAAUGAACCGGCGAGUUACGAUUUGAUGCAAGGUUAAGCAGUAAAUGUGGAGCCGUAGCGAAAGCGAGUCUGAAUAGGGCGUUUAGUAUUUGGUCGUAGACCCGAAACCAGGUGAUCUACCCUUGGUCAGGUUGAAGUUCAGGUAACACUGAAUGGAGGACCGAACCGACUUACGUUGAAAAGUGAGCGGAUGAACUGAGGGUAGCGGAGAAAUUCCAAUCGAACCUGGAGAUAGCUGGUUCUCUCCGAAAUAGCUUUAGGGCUAGCCUCAAGUGAUGAUUAUUGGAGGUAGAGCACUGUUUGGACGAGGGGCCCCUCUCGGGUUACCGAAUUCAGACAAACUCCGAAUGCCAAUUAAUUUAACUUGGGAGUCAGAACAUGGGUGAUAAGGUCCGUGUUCGAAAGGGAAACAGCCCAGACCACCAGCUAAGGUCCCAAAAUAUAUGUUAAGUGGAAAAGGAUGUGGCGUUGCCCAGACAACUAGGAUGUUGGCUUAGAAGCAGCCAUCAUUUAAAGAGUGCGUAAUAGCUCACUAGUCGAGUGACACUGCGCCGAAAAUGUACCGGGGCUAAACAUAUUACCGAAGCUGUGGAUUGUCCUUUGGACAAUGGUAGGAGAGCGUUCUAAGGGCGUUGAAGCAUGAUCGUAAGGACAUGUGGAGCGCUUAGAAGUGAGAAUGCCGGUGUGAGUAGCGAAAGACGGGUGAGAAUCCCGUCCACCGAUUGACUAAGGUUUCCAGAGGAAGGCUCGUCCGCUCUGGGUUAGUCGGGUCCUAAGCUGAGGCCGACAGGCGUAGGCGAUGGAUAACAGGUUGAUAUUCCUGUACCACCUAUAAUCGUUUUAAUCGAUGGGGGGACGCAGUAGGAUAGGCGAAGCGUGCGAUUGGAUUGCACGUCUAAGCAGUAAGGCUGAGUAUUAGGCAAAUCCGGUACUCGUUAAGGCUGAGCUGUGAUGGGGAGAAGACAUUGUGUCUUCGAGUCGUUGAUUUCACACUGCCGAGAAAAGCCUCUAGAUAGAAAAUAGGUGCCCGUACCGCAAACCGACACAGGUAGUCAAGAUGAGAAUUCUAAGGUGAGCGAGCGAACUCUCGUUAAGGAACUCGGCAAAAUGACCCCGUAACUUCGGGAGAAGGGGUGCUCUUUAGGGUUAACGCCCAGAAGAGCCGCAGUGAAUAGGCCCAAGCGACUGUUUAUCAAAAACACAGGUCUCUGCUAAACCGUAAGGUGAUGUAUAGGGGCUGACGCCUGCCCGGUGCUGGAAGGUUAAGAGGAGUGGUUAGCUUCUGCGAAGCUACGAAUCGAAGCCCCAGUAAACGGCGGCCGUAACUAUAACGGUCCUAAGGUAGCGAAAUUCCUUGUCGGGUAAGUUCCGACCCGCACGAAAGGCGUAACGAUUUGGGCACUGUCUCAACGAGAGACUCGGUGAAAUCAUAGUACCUGUGAAGAUGCAGGUUACCCGCGACAGGACGGAAAGACCCCGUGGAGCUUUACUGUAGCCUGAUAUUGAAAUUCGGCACAGCUUGUACAGGAUAGGUAGGAGCCUUUGAAACGUGAGCGCUAGCUUACGUGGAGGCGCUGGUGGGAUACUACCCUAGCUGUGUUGGCUUUCUAACCCGCACCACUUAUCGUGGUGGGAGACAGUGUCAGGCGGGCAGUUUGACUGGGGCGGUCGCCUCCUAAAAGGUAACGGAGGCGCUCAAAGGUUCCCUCAGAAUGGUUGGAAAUCAUUCAUAGAGUGUAAAGGCAUAAGGGAGCUUGACUGCGAGACCUACAAGUCGAGCAGGGUCGAAAGACGGACUUAGUGAUCCGGUGGUUCCGCAUGGAAGGGCCAUCGCUCAACGGAUAAAAGCUACCCCGGGGAUAACAGGCUUAUCUCCCCCAAGAGUUCACAUCGACGGGGAGGUUUGGCACCUCGAUGUCGGCUCAUCGCAUCCUGGGGCUGUAGUCGGUCCCAAGGGUUGGGCUGUUCGCCCAUUAAAGCGGUACGCGAGCUGGGUUCAGAACGUCGUGAGACAGUUCGGUCCCUAUCCGUCGUGGGCGUAGGAAAUUUGAGAGGAGCUGUCCUUAGUACGAGAGGACCGGGAUGGACAUACCUCUGGUGUACCAGUUGUCGUGCCAACGGCAUAGCUGGGUAGCUAUGUGUGGACGGGAUAAGUGCUGAAAGCAUCUAAGCAUGAAGCCCCCCUCAAGAUGAGAUUUCCCAACUUCGGUUAUAAGAUCCCUCAAAGAUGAUGAGGUUAAUAGGUUCGAGGUGGAAGUAUGGUGACAUGUGGAGCUGACGAAUACUAAUCGAUCGAAGACUUAAUCAA